AUAAGCGCCGGUAAGGUGAUAUGAACCGUUAUAACCGGCGAUACCCGAAUGGGGAAACCCAGUGUGAUUCGUCACACUAUCAUUAACUGAAUCCAUAGGUUAAUGAGGCGAACCGGGGGAACUGAAACAUCUAAGUACCCCGAGGAAAAGAAAUCAACCGAGAUUCCCCCAGUAGCGGCGAGCGAACGGGGAGGAGCCCAGAGCCUGAAUCAGCAUGUGUGUUAGUGGAAGCGUCUGGAAAGGCGCGCGAUACAGGGUGACAGCCCCGUACACAAAAGCGCAUGUGCUGUGAGCUCGAUGAGUAGGGCGGGACACGUGGUAUCCUGUCUGAAUAUGGGGGGACCAUCCUCCAAGGCUAAAUACUCCUGACUGACCGAUAGUGAACCAGUACCGUGAGGGAAAGGCGAAAAGAACCCCGGCGAGGGGAGUGAAAAAGAACCUGAAACCGUGUACGUACAAGCAGUGGGAGCACCCUUUGGGUGUGACUGCGUACCUUUUGUAU
rnacentral:rRNA from 1 species